AUGGAGAGACUUGUUAAUGUUCAUUACAUGGACAAGGAGGCAUUCUUGAGUAACAAUGCCGACACGGGUGAGGAACCAUUGGUUUUUGAUACAAGCCCUAGCUAUGAGGAUGUUGUUGCAAAAGUGAGACAAGUCUUAAAGUGGAUGGACACCAAUGUUGAUGUUAAGUUAAUAGGAAGGUAUGAUGUUGGAGUUGGAGCCAAAUCUCGCUUGAAAAGUAUGCCUAUCACCUCGGAUUUGCAUUGGGAUGUAUACAAGGAAAAAGUUUCCCAAUCGGAAGACAAGUCACUUGAAUUGUUUGCCACCAAGGUUGAAUCUCCUCGGUUUACACUUGAUUUGAACCGGCAUGUCUCUUCCCCAAUGGAUGACAUGAGCGUUGAGUUGUAUGCCUCCAAUGCUUCUAGCCAACCACCAACUAGCCAAGCAAAUGAAGUUGAGGUGAUUGCUAGUGACGAAGUAAUUCAAGAGGAUGAAGAUGCUUAUGAUGACGACGAAGAGCAAGAGGAAGGGUUUCAUGGUAAUGAUGUUGGUGACUUGGAUGCGUACAUAGCGCAAAAGGACAUGGAUCGUGAGUUGCCUUUUAGGCUUCAAUAUGUGUAUGACUCGGAUGACGAGGGUCCAGUUGAACAGUUAGACGAGGAUGGAUUCACAAAGGAGGAAAACCAAAUCCACUUUGAGCUGACGGGCUUAGAAAAAAGAACUCACUUGUUUAAAGAUCUCAGCCUUGCCCAUAAAGCUGUUGUUGACGGUGGAAUGAGAAUGGCGGCGAUUGACCAACACCAUGUUGGGAAUCGUAGCAUAAUUUUAAAAUUUUCCUACGCUCACCAAGAUGCAUCUAUGAAGUAUACUAGCAACGAGGGGAAAGGAGUGCAUCUACAUACCCUUGUAGAUCGCGAGCGGAAGCGUUCCAAUGAACGUGGAUGA
rnacentral:rRNA from 1 species